rnacentral:rRNA from 1 species
UGGGGAAUUUUGGACAAUGGGCGAAAGCCUGAUCCAGCAAUGCCGCGUGUGUGAAGAAGGCCUUCGGGUUGUAAAGCACUUUUGUCCGGAAAGAAAUCCUUGGCUCUAAUACAGUCGGGGGAUGACGGUACCGGAAGAAUAAGCACCGGCUAACUACGUGCCAGCAGCCGCGGUAAUACGUAGGGUGCAAGCGUUAAUCGGAAUUACUGGGCGUAAAGCGUGCGCAGGCGGUUUGCUAAGACCGAUGUGAAAUCCCCGGGCUCAACCUGGGAACUGCAUUGGUGACUGGCAGGCUAGAGUAUGGCAGAGGGGGGUAGAAUUCCACGUGUAGCAGUGAAAUGCGUAGAGAUGUGGAGGAAUACCGAUGGCGAAGGCAGCCCCCCUGGGCCAAUACUGACGCUCAUGCACGAAAGCGUGGGGAGCAAAACAGGAUUAGAUACCCUGGUAGUCCACGCCCUAAACGAUGUCAACUAGUUGUUGGGGGAUUCAUUUCCUUAGUAACGUAGCUAACGCGUGAAGUUGACCGCCUGGGGGAGUACGGUCGCAAGAUUAAAACUCAAAGGAAUUGACGGGGUCAUAGCUGUUUCCU